GGACUACUGGGGUAUCUAAUCCCGUUCGCUCCCCUGGCUUUCGCGCCUCAGCAUCAGAAAAGGCCCAGCGCGCCGCUUUCGCCACCGGCGUUCCUUCCGAUAUCUACGCAUUUCACCGCUCCACCGGAAGUUCCGCGCGCCCCUACCUCCCUCGAAACAGCCAGUAUCAAGAGCACUUUUCCGGUUGAGCCGAAAGAUUUCACUCCUGACUUGGCCGCCCGCCUACGCGCCCUUUAAGCCCAGUGAUUCCGAACAACGUUCGCACGGUUCGUCUUACCGCGGCGGCUGGCA
rnacentral:rRNA from 2 species